ensembl:lncRNA
CAAGACUUCCCGAGCAGGACAAGUAACCCACAAAAUGUAGCCAGUAUCCAGGGCUGCUCACAGCUUUGCUUCUUGUUAAGGAAGAUGAUGGUCUUAAAAUGGUUUUACCACAAGAAACUUCCCCUACAUGGAAUAUACCUGUUGCUUUCCCCUGAGGCCUCACACUGCCACUCUGAGGAGUAUAAUGAUAGAUCCAGAGGGUUUACCACAGAUCAUGGGGAGACAAUACAGGCCAACGCUGGCAUGUGAAGACUCCAAGAAACGAAUCACAAGACCCUGAACUCUCCCCGACACACCCUCUGUGGAUCUGCCAAGUCCAGGGACAGAGCUGGCUGGACUUUUCUCACAGUAAUGUACAGUAUGAGUAAACUUUUAUGACCAAAACCUUUAUCCAACACUGAGCUAUUGAACUGAGUAUUGCUAUUGUUGUCACUGGCCCCUUACAGCAGAAAUUGUCCAUUUAAUGGUUUAAAAAUGAUUCUGUGUCAUCAGCUGGAGUAAUUAAAACCCCUUAUUGUAACCAUAUAAUUAAUUUUGGUGCUUGAUAUUAAAAUAUCAAUAAAAGUGAAAAUGCAUUGCUCAGUGUCUCCCCUUGUUUCUGUCGGCUGAGGCCGGGGAUUGUGCUAUGUGGGUGAUUCUAAAGGACUUUGAAGAAGUGCAGACAUGGUUCACACUGCUGCUUGUUGAAGCUGAUGCCAAAAAUGAAAGAUUUGCUCCUUUAUUUCUGUAGGAGUGUUACAGAAUAGGUGAUAGAGAGGUCGUGUAAUGUUGCUGGAUGGGGUGUUGAACACCUCUGGGAAGCAUAUUGAAGUUUUCAACCAGCCUACCUCCCAGUGCUAAAGCUUUAGCACGACCUCCUGGUGGGCUGUGACCUCUAAGAGUAGAUGUAAGCGAGAAAAUCAUUUCCCCAUCAGAGCUUAC